rnacentral:rRNA from 1 species
AGACGAAGGUGGCGAGCGUUAUUCGGAUUUACUGGGCAUAAAGCGCGCGUAGGCGGCCUGGUCAGUCGGAGGUGAAAUCCCACAGCUUAACUGUGGAACUGCCUCCGAUACUGCCGGGCUUGAGUGCAGGAGGGGUGACCGGAACUCCAGGAGUAGCGGUGAAAUGCGUAGAUAUCUGGAGGAACACCGGAGGCGAAGGCGGGUCACUGGACUGCAACUGACGCUGAGGUGCGAAAGCUAGGGGAGCAAACAGGAUUAGAUACCCCGGUAGUCC